rnacentral:lncRNA from 1 species
CUGUACCUGGCUGUGCUGUACGUAUUUGUUAGCUAAAACCACCACACAGACUCACACACAAGAACUUCAUAACUAAACUACUGAGAGCAAAUCCCGCUCAGCAGUCAGUCACACCUUCUAUCGAGACAUGUCAGCACUCAACAGUCACCAAGUGGGAUCCUCCUGAGUCUGCCGGGGCAGGCGGAGGAGUCCCAGAGCCAGGGAAGGCACUGCUUCGAAGAGUUCUGUUGGCAGCAAUUCAUGCAAAGGUGCCAGCAAGAAAGCAUGGGGACUGUGCAUGCCAUUAUCAUAUUUUGAAUCAAAAUAAAAUGUGCCCAUCAAAUGUCUCCCUCAGAAGCAAACACACUGAUGCUAAUGCACAAUCUGAUAUUUCCUCAGAAUCAAUAACAUCUCUGCUUCUAGGUCUUUGUUACUGUAAAUCUUGACAAGAUUUUGUCAAGUGAUCUUCAAAAGGCCAGAGCCAAGACUGACCACGGCCCGAUGAUUUGGAGGGACAUGCCUCAGGCUGACCACUAGGUCUCAUGGACUGGCAUGCCUGUAUGACAUUCUCCAUACUCCUCUGCAAGAAACAGAGCAGAAAGGUCCUCGAAGUGCAAGCACAUGCCCUGGGUUCCUGAGAAUGCAGCAAGAAGCAGGGAAUUGUUUUCUUCCAUUAAGCCCUGCCCUGAGCAGAAAGAAAUCAUCUCUAAGCUCCUGUCUUGGGUGACAUGUUCCCUGACACAGGGUUGCUUUUCCUCACCUGUCUAAACUAAGUAAAGAGGAUCCAAUAUCCACUCAACGCUGAUCUUUUCAGCAGAUACUCAAAGGAUAAAGCAAGGAUAAUUUAUUCUUCUGUUUAAUCCCAUAGAGUGGAUUGUGAACUUCCAAACAGAGAGACAUUCUUCUGAGAAGAGAGCCCCCUUAUCAGUUUGGCCCUGUCCAAAAUGAUAACUCCACGUUGCCUUUGCCUGCAGGAAGUAUUUGUCCUCUGUCAAUAACUAAUUGUCAGGAUUGCAUUUGCCUCUGUAGAAGGGAAAUCUGAAAAACAUUUACAUAAACAUAAACAAAAACAUUUAGAGCCCAGGCUUCUAAAUGCAUGUGGGUUACAACCAACUUCCCACUUUAAUUAUGCUCCCAGUAUAACCCUAAGAGCAGAGGGGAAGGCGGCCGUCCUUCCCUUCAUUUGGCUCUUCUUGGGUGAGAAGCUCUUAAGAAAAAGAAACAGACAUCCCCAGUUUAUUUCUUGAAGCUAUUUCUUUUGUAAGGCGUAAUAUCCAGCUAAAAUUAAAGCUGGCCGUCUACAUAAACCGUCCAUGGAGCGGCAAGGAUUUGCGCUCUGCCGCCUGCCCAAGAGUUCCACCGGAGACCAGAUACCAAGACAAACCAGCAAUUUGGUGUGGCUGCGCGUGCACUCAUUUCCCUGCCUGAGUACUCUGAGGUCAUUAAGGGGUGCUGGGUUCUUUAGAAAGACAUUCUCAUUAAGUGAAUGGUGUUGAACUGCAGUUUCAUAGCAGCCUAGGCAUAGGCGUCCAUGACACACACACACACACACACACACUGACACACAAAAACACACACACACACAAAAACACACAAACACACACAAAAACACACUCACAAACACACACACACAACACACACACACACAAACACAAAAUGAUUAUUAUAUUUACUUAUACAAGUUAUAUUUAAACUAUGCCUACAUACAGUAUAUAUGUUGCAAAACUAUUCCCCCCUAGAGGCCAAGGAGGUUGUCUUUCUCAUCUUUAAAUUCCUAGAAGUGAGUAUUUAGUUAAAAGUUACCAGCAUAUUUGGCUCCAGUUAUAUUAUCCUUGAUUUCUGAAUUUAUUCAUUCCGACAUAUCUACUGGGCACCUCUUGUGUUCUAGACAAUCUACAAAGCAUAUGGGUACCAAGACAGCCUUCUCAAGGAAUAUUCCAUCUACCAAAUUGAAUAUUUUGAUCUUACAAAUGAAUUCAUAAGGGAUUAUGGAUAUUAAAGAAGGGUUAAAGAUCAGUAGAAAAGUCCAAGUAUUUUUUACUUUGAACAUAACCCCCUAAGUUUAUACUGUUUGCUCAGAAAAAAAAGUAAUAACAAUGGCCUCUAAAUCCUUCCCUUCUUGUCUAUUUGUUUUUUAACUCUUCACUGGAGUGUGAAACCCUUGAGGGCAGAAACUCAGGCCCAGUGGCUUCUGCAGCUCCAGCUCCUGGCACCUGGCAGGCACUCGCUGCUGACAACCUGACCGACUUACUAAAUAAACCAAUAUCGAGAUUUUCAUGAGAUACCAGGACACAAGCUUCUAAAAAUGUUCAGCAUUCAAAAUAUCAGAAUAAGAGGUAGGACCGAGAGGCUCCAUAUAGCCAACGAGUUGUGAUGAAUAGUGACUGAAGUGCUUCAUCGAUGAUGGAAGAUGCUCCAUUGCUCAGUUUCCUUUUCGUGGGACCUCAACACUUGACUUGGCAGCAGUGUCAUCAUCCAGGGUCCCUGAGAAACGACAGUGAGCAGAGCAUCACACAUAUGUGAGACAAGUACACAGUGUGGAUGAGAAAUACAGAGAUUUUGUAAAGCUGCUGAAAUUGGAGGCUCUUUGGUGUUUGUUAUUGCAGCGUAAUCCACCUGACCCUGCCUGAUAUGCUAGGUUGCUAGCAGAGCGAAAGAAGUGGAUAGGGCCAAAGGAAGGCUAAGUCCCAGUGCCACCAAGCCGCUCCCUCUCUGCUUCCUGGGAGAGGGGCUCCAUCAUCAGCAUGGUGCAGUGUGCAAAUCAGAAACUUGGGCACUUAGAUUGCAGCGCUGUUGUCAGAAUAAUGUAUGGAUGGUUCCUAUGGAUUCUUCUGUGGUCUCCUGAACAUAGUGAAUGCUCAGGAAGUGGUAGCAGUUAUUACAUUAAUUUUUACUUACAAGAUGUUUGGGACAUAAUAUGAGUCUAGAUAGGAAGGGACGAUAGCCCUAGACCUGCAUUCAACAUCAGCAAAUAUUUAUCUGAAAGUCUAACAAUCACUAUCUAGGAGUCCUUUCCUGAGCAAAGCUGAACAAGCUAGAAGAGGAGUCAGAGGCAUAAAGUAGAGCCUAGUGGAGGUGGCCUCUAGUGGAGAGAAGCCCAGGUUGUUAUGUGAAUCCUUGGGCAUCUGUGAAGGCUCUCUGGAGGAGGUGAUGUGGCAGCUGAGAUCUGUCAGAUGACUUGAGACAGUCUGGUAUGAAGAGGGGAGGACGAGCUCAAAGAGGGGGAACAGUAUGUGCAGAGGCCGGGGGGGAAGGAGGGACGGUGCAUGCAGAGAACUGCAGUGGCCAUUUGGAGGCUACAGUGACUCCAUCUGGAGGAUGAUCCAUCAUACUGGCUUCUGAUUAACCUCUGUUCCAGGCACACCUCUAAGAUUUCCAGUCUGUCUAUUGUUCCCUGUAUAAGAGCAAGUACUUACUGUAAAUCCUGCCCUUAGGUCAGCCAACCUUGAUGUUAUCAUACUUCAAUCGUCCUGCACCUCCCUUCUGAACCAACCCUCCCUGUGAUCUAUAAGCCCUGGGUCUGGGGGUCAUGGAGCAGGGGACCCACCAUCCUGUCUCACCGCCACCUGAGAUGCUGACGGGGCUCCUGUUCGUAAGUCCCUAUUAAAUGUUUCUUUCUGAGAAACUGGAUACAUCAGCCUCUUUCUUCAGCCUGUUGGCUUCCUCGGACUUUGUGAGUAGGUUUGCAUAGACCUGCCCACUGUGGAACAGGCCAGAGAAAAGAAUGUGAGGGGCAGGUGAUGAGAAACGGGGCUGCAGCCGUAAAAGGAAAUCUAGCCACACCCAAAGCACGCCUAGAUCGUCUUCCUAUCACAGCAAGUGAAACUUCUCAAGGUCAAUUUCUUCUCUUUGUCCACAAGGAGUCAUUUGAAAUGAAGUCCUGCUGGGCACAGAAGACAAAAAGAUCUGUUAGCUCUCCCAACAUCUGUGCCUAAUCAUUCAGUAACUUGCCUCAAAGCUAGCUUACACAGAGCAGGGGCUGGGUCCUGCAGUAUCAUGGUGUUCUCCCAUUCCAGAGAGACAGUCUUAUCUCCCUCCCCUCCUCCCAUCUGCCAUCAGCUUUAUGGAACCCAAAUUCUCCGGCUGCAAAGCUUCCAAAAGAUGUCUGAGAGGAAACUCUUGACUUGGCAGUCGAUGCCUCUGAAUUGCUGAGCAGUGAAUGGAAUUUCUGCCUCUCACUCCACCCACUUUGUAGGACUCUGGAACCCAGGAAACACAUGAUACUGCUUGCACGGGUAAUGUGAGGAGGAGAGAAAGAAACCCAUCCCGUGCACGAGGACAUCCAAGGAUAUACAAGGUUCCCCUCUAUGCCUUUAGAUUGGCCCUCUCUCCAUGCCCAGGAGGAGAAUUCGGCUCGUCUUCUCCUGCCAGCUCCAAAUUAUUUCUAGCUGGCUCAUCCAUCUCCCUGAAAGACCCAGAGGAUUAAGAGACAUGGCAAGGCCUUCUGAUGGACAUUGAACUCACUGACUCGGCACGCACUGUAGCAAAGGUUUGCACAGAAACUUUACACCCAGAGCCAAUAAAGUCUGUGCCAUCAAAAGCAAGUCAAAACACAAUGGCAUCCAGCAAAGCAGCCAGCAGAUUGUCAGCCUGUCCUCUUAAGCAAAAGUUCUGCAGGAGAGCCAGCGGAGAAGCUUGAGAAGGAGCCAGGAAGGGAGUGAGUUCCACAUGCCCCAUGCUGCUCCUGCCACCGCUGCCACAGCUGCUGCUGGAAAAACACAUUCCAGCAUCUGGUAUCGGAGACCCGCAGCUGGGGUGCGCCCUGCCUGUGUGGCCAGGAGUGCCCUCUGAAAGGCACAGCCAAGAGGGGAGAGGACAGGGCAGGUACAACUAGGGGUGCCAGUCCCACGAGGCCGGGCCAACUCUGCCUUGCCAUCCGAUGCCAGCCUAUUUCCUUGUGCCAUAAUGGCCAGGUUUAAGAAAUGUCAACCUUGUGUUCUGAAAAUGAUCAAUGCUCUGGAAUAAAGAGGUGUCUUUUCCAGCCAUGCCCCAAUCUACUCAUGAGAAGCAGGGGCUGGGGAACAAAUCUCCAAUAGGAAGAAUAACAGAGCAGGGAUGAAGCGAGGCUGGCAGCAGGCGGGACCUCCUCCAGCAAACACAUGGAAAGAGACUGAAAGCAGCAUGUGGCUUCCAACCAACACCCCAGCACUCUCUCCAACUCAGGCCACAGUGGGGAGAUUUGCUUCCCUGCUGUUUUCUUACCAGCAGAGCAUUUUUUUAAAAUUAUUAUUAUACUUUAAGUUUUAGGGUACUUGUGCACAAUGUGCCAGUUAGUUACAUAUGUAUACAUGUGCCAUGCUGGUGUGUUGCACCCAUUAACUCGUCAUUUAGCAUUAAGUAUAUCUCCUAAUGCUAUCCUUCCCCCCUCCACCCACCCCACAACAGGCCCCGGUGUGUG